UGAAGAUCAAAGAUGUCACCUUUCAUUAGAUUGCUUGAUACCUUCAUCCCAGAUUCUCUAACUCUAUCAUUAAGGUCCGUUGUGUCCUGGUUUUUGAGUCAAAUCCUGCAGACAAAUCUGGUAACAGUUACUACGAUGUCUCGAGCAAGCUUUGUUACACCUAAUUUGACAUCAAUUACCAAUGAUACUCAUGCUGAAUGGAUAGUUGAAGGAACCGUCAAAAGGUGUUAAAGAGUUUGAUUCACGUGAUGAUGUCAAUAUGUUCAGUCUAACAAGAAGAAAGAGAUUGUGGAUAACCAAUGUGAUAUUUAUUUUGUGUUUCAGUCAAUGUUUUUAUUUCUAUUUAUUGUUAGCUUUCUAUUUUGUACU